AGUGAACGCUGGCGGUAGGCCUAACACAUGCAAGUCGAACGGCAGCACAGUAAGUGCUUGCUCUUACGGGUGGCGAGUGGCGGACGGGUGAGGAAUACAUCGGAAUCUACUUUUUCGCGGGGGAUAACGUAGGGAAACUUACGCUAAUACCGCAUACGACCUACGGGUGAAAGCAGGGGAUCUUCUGACCUUGCGCGUGUGAAUGAGGCGAUGUCGGAUUAGCUAGUUGGCGGGGUAAAGGCCCACCAAGGGGACUAUCCGUAGCUGGUCUGAGAGGAUGAUCCACCACCCUGUCAGUGAGACUGGGCCCCGACUCCUGCGGUGGGCCGCAGUGCGGACUCUUGCACGAGGGGGCAGUGCCUGAUCCAGCCAUACCGCGUGGGUGCAGAAGGCCUUCUGGUUCUAGAGCCCUUUUGUUCUGAAGGAAGAGCAGCAGUUUAAUACCCCGCUGUUCUGACGGUACCCAAAGAAUAAGCCCCGGCUAACUUCGUG
rnacentral:rRNA from 1 species